rnacentral:ncRNA from 1 species
AGAAUCAGCGGGGAAAGAAGACCCUGUUGAGCUUGACUCUAGUCUGGCAUUGUAAGGAGACAUGAGAGGUGUAGCAUAAGUGGGAGAUCGUUUCGCGCGAUCGUCGCUGAAAAACCACUACUUUCAUUGUUUCAUUACUUACUCGGUUGGGCGGAAGCGGUGCGCGGUCGAUAAUAUCGGCGGGCGCACGGUGUUUCGUUCCAAGCGUGCAGAGUGGUGACGUGGCGGAAACGCUCGUCGCCGUUUAAAACUCCCGCGUGAUCCGGUUCGAGGACACUGCCAGGCGGGGAGUUUGACUGGGGCGGUACAUCUGUCAAAGA